GGCGACUGUCUCAAUACGCUUAGAAACACCUAAAAAUAGGAUAGCCAGAAAUUUUUUUGUCAAGUGCGUUUUUCGAAAAUUUUGGGCCUAAACGGAGGGUGGUUUCCGGACUCUUUUUUUUUGACUCUUUUUUUUUGGAAACCAACCUGUUCUACGGACGGCAAAAGAUUGCUGGAAUCCGAAACCUACUCAGACAAGGAAACACGAAUCGGAAUUUAGAUGGAUCCCGAAAACAAACCUAAUAUGCAAGGAACUCGGAUUGGUGGUGGAUAUAUGGUGGUGGUAUAUGGCAGCGGUGGUGGUAG
rnacentral:lncRNA from 1 species